GCUAAACGCGAAGAACCUUACCCACCUUUGACAUGUAUGGAAUCCUUUAGAGAUAGAGGAGUGCUCGAAAGAGAGCCAUAACACAGGUGCUGCAUGGCUGUCGUCAGCUCGUGUCGUGAGAUGUUGGGUUAAGUCCCGCAACGAGCGCAACCCUUGCCAUUAGUUGCUACGAAAGGGCACUCUAAUGGGACUGCCGGUGAUAAACCGGAGGAAGGUGGGGAUGACGUCAAGUCCUCAUGGCCCUUAUAGGUGGGGCUACACACGUCAUACAAUGGCUGGUACAAAGGGUUGCCAACCCGCGAGGGGGAGCUAAUCCCAUAAAACCAGUCGUAGUCCGGAUCGCAGUCUGCAACUCGACUGCGUGAAGUCGGAAUCGCUAGUAAUCGCGGAUCAGAAUGUCGCGGUGAAUACGUUCCCGGGUCUUGUACACACCG
rnacentral:rRNA from 1 species